GGGGCCGUAGUGUAACUUGGCUAUCACUCGAGGUUCGGGGCCUCGGAAUCGGAGUUCGAAUCUCCGCGGCCCCA
rnacentral:tRNA from 1 species